CAGUGCCUUAGCAUCAUUAGUUAAUGUAAUUGCAUGGCUGAACGUGACUGGGCACCUCGUUAACAUCAGUAUCAACAAGCGUGCCAUGGGAGAGGAGACCCUGUUCCAGAGGACUGGACUGUGUACCUUAGGUGAGCUGCAGAGCACUCUGUGAUCUGGAGAAGAUAGCCAGGCUUAAAUGCACCAGAGGGUGGGGGACCACAGGCCCAGCCCAGUGUCCAUCUCCCACCCAGGCACCCAUGUACCCAUGCACUUUCCCCUACCCUACUGAUGGUCCGGGGAAUCGUGGCCAUACAGGCCCCCCGAAGCAGUCUUCAGCCUUACAGGGACAACAACACUACAGUGCUAUCUGGGACCCAGUGGCGUGCUCUGUGACGAGGCUACUACAGUGUAGAGGUUGUGCCUUCCAGAACCCCUCUUCCUCGUCUGCUGCUGUGGUGGAAGCUGAGAUCCAGCACCCACGGGACCCCACCCUGGACCAGGACUGCGUUAGUCAAAACAUGCGGUGCAGCUGAAGCACCUACCAGAAGCUCCCCUUCUGGUAGGCCUGGGAAUGAGGGGUCAGGCAAAUCACCCACGUCUGUCAAGAUUUCAUUUUUUUUGUUAUUUCUUGUUUUUUAGCUUUUAUUUAACUAUGCAAGUCAGUCUCUCCUUCAGAGUCUCGGAGAGGGUCCUCAGUAUCACCAUCAGUUGGUGUGUCUGGUAGUCCUUCAGGGUCUGGGAGAGGGUCCUCAGUAUCACCAUCAGUUGGUGUGUCUGGUAGUCCUUCAGGGUCUGGGAGAGGGUCCUCAGUAUCACCAUCAGUUGGUGUGUCUGGUAUUCCUUCAGGGUCGGGGAAAGGGUCCUCAGUAUCACCAUCACAAAUGAUGCCAGACACUGAGGUCUCUCCAAUUAUGCUGCCAAUGCACAGGUCCAUAGCAGACAGUGGAGAGUCACUCUGCCCUCCUACGGUUGCACUUAUAUCCCUUUUGUGGAUCAUGUUUUUGUUGUUGAAUAUGAUUUUAAAUCAAACCAUUUUUAAUUUCAUUAACUGUUCUUCACUCAAGUGAGGCAGAUUUUACCACAGCUCUAACUUGCUCCCAAGCAUUGCUGAGGGCUCAAACGUAUGGCUUGUUUUGCUUCCACUUCGGUGAUCAAAAGUUAUAUUUCUGUGUCCGAAAAGUUUUCUUCUUUGAUUUCUCCAUGUUGGCUGACAGAAAUUUGUGACAUUUCUUGCAGCUUCAAAGGGAAGGUUUGUGAGCAUAAAUGGUCAUUUAGGGAGGUUCUUUAUGUAAAUGAGACUGUACGUGCACUAGCACAGUGUUUUAGAAUGUCUGAUUUGUCAAGGCAAAAUACUUACAGGUGUGUGUUAGUCAAGCGUACGAGCAAUUGAUAAAUACCAACUUUUUUGUACUUGCGACCAUUCUACAUUUUCUUUGAGUUCCUUUAGAAGCUUUUCUAUGCAACAUUGAUAAAUGAGGGCCCCGGGGAAAUCCUGAUUCUACCUGGAUUUUGUUGGAGAGGCUUCCAUUAAAGAACACCCACCCUUAGACAUGUAACUCUUUAUCCACAGUAUAGCAGGGGGUGUAAAGCCAUAACGCGUACAAUUUUACAGCAACAGACUAUGAUUGAUAAUGUCAAAGCCGCACUGAAGUCUAACAACAGCCCUCACAAUCUUUUUAUCAAUUUCGCUCAAUCAUUUUCUUUAACUAUGCAAGUCAGUCUCUCCUUCAGGGUCUCGGAGAGGGUCCUCAGUAUCACCAUCAGUGCUGUGCUUGUUGAAUGUCCUUCCCUAUAAGCGUGCUGAUUGUCUGUUGACAAUUUGUUUACUGUAAAAUAGCAUUGUAUCUGGUCAAACACACAUUAUUCCAGAUGUUUACAAAGGGUUGGUAACUAGAUUUAGUUUUUUAAAUUGAACUGUUGUUUAACUAGACAAGUCAAAUUCUUAUUUACAAUGACGGCCUACCCCGGACUAUACUGGGCCAAUUUUGCGCUGCCCUAUGGGACUCCCAAUCAUGGCCGGAUGUGACGCAGCCUGGAUUCGAACCAGGGACUGUAGUGACACCUCUUGCGCUGAGCUACAGUGCCUUAGAUCGCUGCGCCACUCGGAAGCCCCACAAGCUGAUUGGUUGGCUAUUUGAGCCAGUAAAGGGGUCUUUACUAUCCUUAGGUAGGAGAAUAACUUUUACUUCCCUCCAGGCCUGAGUGAACACACUUUCUAGGAGGCUUAAAUGAAAGAUGUGGCAAUAUCGUACGCUAUUAUCUUAAUUAAUUAAGUAAUUUUCGUUGCAAGUUGUCAUACCCCGGUGACUUGUCAUUGAUAGACAAUUUUUUUCAGUUCUUCCACACUUCAUGGAAUUCUAAAUUAAAAUGCUUGUCUUUCAGAAUUUGGUCAGAUACUUGGAUGUACAGUGUCAGCAUUUGUUGCUGGCAUGUCAAACCUAAGAAAAAAAUCAUUAAAGAAGUUGGCAAUAUCAGUGGGUUUUGUGAUGAAUGAGCCACCUGAUUGAAUGAUGGAGCGAAAGGAGUCUUUUUGCCCAGAAUGCCAUUGAAGGUGCUACAAAGCUUUUUACUAUCAUUCUUUGUUUUAUGGUGUUUCUUUUGAUUCAUUUUAGUCACACGAUUUCUCAAUUUGCAGCACGUUUGCCAAUCGCUUGUACAGCCAGACCUAUUUAGCAUUUUUUUUUGCCUCAUCCCUCUAGUCAUUUUAUUCAUGGGUCCAUGCUUAUUAGUAACUAGGUUAAGCAAUUUCAUAGAUGUGUCAAGUGCAGCAUCUGGUUGUUCCUCAUUACACACCACGGACCAACAAAGAUUCUUUACAUCCACAACAUAGGAAUCACUACAAAACUUCUUCUUUGACCUCUUAUACACUAUAUUAG